rnacentral:rRNA from 1 species
GAUCCUGGCUCAGGAUGAACGCUGACAGAAUGCUUAACACAUGCAAGUCAACUUGAAUUUGGGUUUUUAACUUAGAUUUGGGUGGCGGACGGGUGAGUAACGCGUAAAGAACUUGCCUCACAGCUAGGGAUAACAUUUAGAAAUGAAUGCUAAUACCUGAUAUUAUGAUUUUAAGGCAUCUUAGAAUUAUGAAAGCUAUAAGCACUGUGAGAGAGCUUUGCGUCCCAUUAG